CUGAUUUACCAGUUACCGAACGUCGUCAUCAUGUUGACAUGGCAAAAGACUAUACUAUGGAUUACCUUAUUCAUGAUUGUCAUUGUAAUUGUUUCGCAUAGCUAAAUGCUUCAUGAAGGGAAAAUGACCAUAAAAUGGGUUUGCUUGAUUUUCAUGGUAGUGCACUAAACCAU